rnacentral:rRNA from 1 species
UGCAAGUCGAGCGAACAGACGAGGAGCUUGCUCCUCUGACGUUAGCGGCGGACGGGUGAGUAACACGUGGAUAACCUACCUAUAAGACUGGGAUAACUUCGGGAAACCGGAGCUAAUACCGGAUAAUAUAUUGAACCGCAUGGUUCAAUAGUGAAAGACGGUUUUGCUGUCACUUAUAGAUGGAUCCGCGCCGCAUUAGCUAGUUGGUAAGGUAACGGCUUACCAAGGCAACGAUGCGUAGCCGACCUGAGAGGGUGAUCGGCCACACUGGAACUGAGACACGGUCCAGACUCCUACGGGAGGCAGCAGUAGGGAAUCUUCCGCAAUGGGCGAAAGCCUGACGGAGCAACGCCGCGUGAGUGAUGAAGGUCUUCGGAUCGUAAAACUCUGUUAUUAGGGAAGAACAAAUGUGUAAGUAACUAUGCACGUCUUGACGGUACCUAAUCAGAAAGCCACGGCUAACUACGUGCCAGCAGCCGCGGUAAUACGUAGGUGGCAAGCGUUAUCCGGAAUUAUUGGGCGUAAAGCGCGCGUAGGCGGUUUUUUAAGUCUGAUGUGAAAGCCCACGG